rnacentral:rRNA from 1 species
AUGGCGGAGGAACCAUCCGCCAAGCGUCAUCAUGCCGAGACAUCGGACAAGAGCAGCAACCUCGUCGACAUUCACGUCCCCGGCGAGAAGCGCGAGUACACAACAACCCUCAAAGGGGUUGAGCUCCACGGCAAUGAGACGCUGGAGAUCGUCUGCACCAGCGUACCAGAAAAGGCCGACGAGGUGAUCUCCAGGCUCUAG